GUUCUUUCACGAGAAUCUUCAAUUUACUGGUGUAUGUGAGUCAAUUUUAUAGCUACCAAGGAGCCUGAAGAAACCGUGGCCAUAUGCUUUCCUUUUUGUUAGCAGAAGCCUAUGGUGGAGGCAGUGGAACGCCUUGGAUUAAUCCAUCAAAAUAAGAGCUUGAUAUUUGUGCUGAUCUAGGGCUGAUUUCUAAUCCUCGACCAGACCAAUAGGAAGAUCGUGUAAUUGACAUCUGAAUCUCCUGAUGAAGGCCGUCAGGAAAGGACUACAACUUUUCAAAGAAAACUUUUUUGGGUCACUCGCAUACAUGCCCCGUUCAUAAAGUUUGGAAGUAGUAUAGAUAAAACAUUAACAGGUUAAGCAGUAUGAUGCUUUCAUAGACAAAUACAACAAACAGACAUUCACCAUCAACGAUGUGUCGAAGCAGGUGAUAGGUCAACAUGGAAUCCAGCUCCUCCUGGAAAGGAAAAAUCCCUCCUUCUUCCCUUGUGUAGUGGGUUUUCUGUGUAUUGGAACAAAAGUCAUACUCCCCUUCCUGCGGAUUAAUCAGGCGCAUUAUAAUGAUAUAGUGGAGAAGGGAGCAGUAAAGGGGACCAGUAAAGCUACUGUAUCCUAUACCAGACCGUGUGAUUAUAUGGAUGCUGCUGACCGCGAGGACAUUCUGGAACCACUAGUUUGGUUUGGUUUUGUGCAAUCGAAUGUUGACAAAUUAAAAUUGUCGUAGAAUAUCUGUAACUUUGAUACUAGAACCGGAAACUAGAUGAUCACUUUCAUCUAGUUUAUCAUUGGAAAAGUAUGCAAAAGUACUAAGUCUCCACGACUGUCCUAUUGGCAAUGCUACAUGUUUAAAUGCAUUAUUAC